rnacentral:rRNA from 1 species
GCUAUCACCCAUUCCAGAUUGAAUAUACCCGAUCUCGUCUGAUCUCGGAAGUCAAGCAAUCUCGGGCUUGGUUAGUACUUGGAUGGGUGACCGCUUGAGAAUACCAAGUGUGAUAAGCA